UACGUAGGCAGCGAGCGUUGUUCGGAAUUACUGGGCGUAAAGAGUGUGUAGGCGGUGCUCUAAGUUCGGUGUGAAAUCUCCUGGCUCAACUGGGAGGGUGCGCCGGAAACUGGAGUGCUCGAGCGUGGGAGAGGAAAGCGGAAUUCCUGGUGUAGCGGUGAAAUGCGUAGAUAUCAGGAGGAACACCUGUGGUGUAGACGGCUUUCUGGACCAUUGCUGACGCUGAGACACGAAAGCGUGGGUAGCAAACAGG
rnacentral:rRNA from 1 species